GUCCACAUCACAUUCUGGUCUUUUGGCCUCUUCCUCUCUCAAGAUGUUCAGCCUAACACAAGAAGCAAACACAGGAAGGUACCUUUGAUUUUCCUUUGCAAUUUCAAAACCAGUUUUAUGCUCUAUUUCGUUUAUGCCAAGUAGGCCAUCCCUAGAUUUCAACAGUUUCUGUAAGCAGAACUGUAAAUUGUCCUCACUUUGCCUCAUAUACAAAGUGAUGCCAUGUCUGGACAGUCCAGAAUAAAAUGUUCAUGUAUCUAAAGUGAUUUUUGAACCAUUUUCCUCUGUAGCAACUUAGCAGCUAAUAAGUAGCCUUUUAAAAUACUCAUGGUCUUUGCCCCUACGUAUAGUUUAAUGCUUUCUUCAACAGACCAUUGUGUUGUUCAGUGUGUGUCUGCAAAGAGCAGGCUUUAGCACUCUGGCCAGAUGUGACUGCACAGAUCUCGACCACAGUUCUAGAAAGUUCCAGGUUCUCGGUGCCACCAAAGGAGCCACCUCCCUGAGGAAGUUGUACGCUUUUCAUGAAAGCCUUUGGUCCCCAGCCACAGAGAUGGGAAGGAAAGCUGGAGGAGAGGAGCCGGAAGGGUCUAGUUUUCUUUUCUCUCUGGAAAAAAGUUUAAAAAGGAGCCUGAAGACAAUCCCGGUUCGGCCCCUUCCUGCCUUGUCUGAGCAUUUUCAGCCCCUGGAAGAUGAGGGGAGGCUGAAGGUCACCACGAAGGGCUUCCCUGACCACCUGAAACAAGGCAAGCAUCAGCGGACCAGACCCAUGAUUGCCAGCACUUUGAGUCUCCUGAUGUGUUCUAAAUGGUAUUUUAUUAUUUAGAGAGUGCAGGCGAGGGGAGGAGGAGAGAGUCGCAAGCCAAAUCCGCACUGAACGAGCGUAGAGCCAAGCGCAGAGCUCGGUGUGGGACUCCAUCUACCUCUCUGAGGUCGUGACCUGAGCUGAGAGCAGGAGUCAGACGUUCAGCAGACUGAGCCACCCCGGCGCCCCGUGAAAGAGGAUUUUUUAAGUCUUAAUUGCAGAAGGCGGCACGUAAAACUACUGCUUUGGAGCCACUGGGCCGAGCACGGAGUGGAACGCUAAUACGAAGAAACUUGAGGCCAAUGCCAGACUUCACAAAGACUGAGCGAGACCUUCAUCGGCACUUCCCACGUGAAUUCGUAGGUUCUAGAAUAUCCACGUCAACCACGGCAGGCUAGGCUUGGGAGAAUGUUGUGCAUGGAGUGAAUCAAACUCCUGAGCAAUACAAGUCUGUUGUGUAAAGAUAUAGUCAACAAUAUCAGGCUCGAGAGAAGGACAUGCAGGGCCCACGCUGGAGGAACAGCUGUCCAAACAGACCGAUUCAGCUUGGUAAGAUCCUGCUUUUGAAAGUCGACUCCGGGACAAGUGACAUCACCAAGAUGGUGACACAGGUUAUUGCCUGAUUUCACUCCCCCUUCAAAAGAAGAACCAACAACUCUUCAUGGACAGGACACCACUGAGAAAAUCCUAGAAUACAGGGGUGAGGCUGAAGCACCCCCUUCAGCACAGAGAGCGAAACCGUACUGGAAGGGUAAGAGGAACAGCUCCAUGCUGCCAAGUUCUCCCUCCUCCCCUAGUGGGCACAGCUCCCAACUGAGGCCUGCCCUGAGCCAGUGGUCCCGCCAGUGGAAAAAGAGUCCAAAAGACACAUCCAGCUUCCCCAAUAUUGUGGGUCUCUUCUUGGGGGGUCCCCACUCCAGUCUUUCCCCAGGGGAGUUGCUAGGGAAUCUGGGGGCUCUAGCACUGGAAUUUGAUAGCGGCAGAAGGGGGACUCGCAACAAUCCACACCGUGAUCAUGGCAGAUUGAGUUCCUACCUGCGGCACCCAAGGGGCAGCCCCCAAACAGUGUCUUUGCUCACCUACGGAACCAAUUUGUGGUGAAAUCUGACCAGGGAACUCCACAGGGUACAGGUGAGCCUGACUAAUGUCCUCGGAUGAAGAGCUGUGCCAUUGCAGGAGCCUGGUUAGCUCCCCUGCCCGAGUCAUAGCCUGGCUUACAGCAUCCUAGCAGAAAGGCAAGAACGCCCGCAAGCUGCUUAAUCCAUCAACACUCAAGCAGAAAGUUUGGCAGCCGGUUCUGUGUAGGGGGGUUUCCACUGCUUUGCCCAAGCAGAGGAGCUGACUCAUCACCCCACCCAGCGCUAAGUAAAUCUCCCAACCCUGCUCAGGCAGGAAGCCUGCCCAGAACAUUUGCAAAGCUGCACAGCCCUGCGGCAUUUCAGCAGUCUGGUAGGCAGAGCUGACAGCCUGCAGAGCAAAGCCAGUGGCCCUGUUCAACCAGGGAAUGUGGGAGCAAGGGUUGUUGGAGUCAAGACCACAAACAAAGAGCAUCAGCACCCUUGGAUCAGUUUUCCCUCUCCACUCAGCCAAGGAAACGGAUUCAUAACGCUACUUCCUCCCCACCAUCCCACCUCAUUGCUGGAUAUGGCCUUUAGCCCACCCAACAGCCCUGCACUUGAGCAGAGAGCACAGCCUAGGACUUUCCCUGUCUGCAGAGCAAAACCAGCAACCUGUCGGGCCAGGGAUUUCAUUUCACACACUUGCCUGAUUCAGGUACCCAAACAACAAGCCAUGGAAGCCAUGGACCCUGUCUUGCUGCCCCGCCAGAGUAGGAAGCUAAUUCAUAGCCUCAUCUACAGCUGAGUGUACUACCCAACCUGACCAGAACACCUAGGCAACCAUGAAGCCUAUCCUGUAGCCUAGUAGCUCUACGAAACAAUUAGAAAACAACUAACAAAACAUCAGUAGUAAGUCCUUAGCUAUCAUUAAUUCCUUUAAGUGUAAAUGAAGAUUGAAUUCUCCAGUCAAAGGAAUAGAAUAGUUGAAUGGAUAAAAAGGCAAGAUCCAACAAUAAGCUGCCUACAAGGACUCACUUAACCUUAAAGACACACGUAGACUGAGCGUGAAAGGGUGGAAAAGAUAUUUCAAGCAAAUGGUAAUAAGACAACACAGACUAUUUUUCUUAAAGAUUUUAUUUGAGAGAACAAGCAGGGGAAGGGCAGAGUAAGAGGGAGAAGCAAGCAGACU